GAGAGGAAGAGGUUAAGCAAUCAAAACGAAAAUAAAGCAAAUAUCUUCAAAGGCCUACACUGACUCAUACAUAACACUAAAUAUUUUUUAAACUUGUUAGAUUCUACUUUUUAAAAAAAUAUUUCAUUUACUUAUUUGACAGAGAGAGAAAGAGGCACAAGCAAGCAGAGUGGCAGGCAAAGAGAGAGAAUGAGACAGGCUCUGAGCAGAGAGGCUGAUGCCGGGCUCUAUCCCAGGAACCUGGGAUCACAACUGGAGCCAAACCAACUGAGCCACGCCAGCACGCACCAUCUACUUCCGUUCUUUUUCAAUUUAGUGGAACUGGAGAGUAUUGCGUCUUCCUCAUGCUCCACAAAGAGAACCACCAAUAGUGUGGUGGAACUUGUGACCCUUUCCAAGGCAACAGCUCUUGCAGCCUGCAGAGGUCAGCCCUUGCAUCUCCCUGUGCUUGUGGACUGGUUUGGUGAUCCACUGGGUGUCAGGAUUUCUUCUGAUAGUUUUAUGGUAUGGAUCAAUGAGGAUAGCCUCAAAGAAUAUGUACGUGGAAUCUUUGCCAACCCAGUAAGAAUUCAAGACUCUCAGAACCCCACAGUGGCAUCCAGUUGGCUCCUCUGCAACAGACUGAAGGCCUUGGGCAAACUUUAGCUGGUUAACACCAUGAUGGACAGGCCAUAGGUAGCACCCUUAGGAACUGGGUGUUUGUGGCCAUGACGACACACACAAAUCUGAUAUAUGACUUAAUCUUUCUUGGCCUUGUACCCCAGUCUGCAAGAUUAAUGGGCCUGGUUGGGCGGGGGCCUUGGGGAGCGCAGAGAGCUGGUGGUACUGCCAACAGCGCACCCUGAGAAGAAAGCGCAUGACAUUCUUCCUCCACAGCUCCUGGAUGUACUUGUACACACCCAACUUGGCCUACCUUUGAGCUGAUGGCUGCCACUAGACGGAAAGGAAAAAGCCUUUCUCCCCAGUUUGAAUACCUACCUGUAUUUGUCCUAAAGAUCUUUUAUGAAUCUUCUUGAAGAUAAAAUUCAUUUUGCAAGAGAAUAAGAACAAUUAUAAAUGACAAAAACUUAGAAAUGGACAUGGUUAAUAAUCAUGAUGCAAUUGACAAGGAAAUUCAAGCUAUUUGUGACACAUAACAUUCCAAUGAUCAAAAUAUCAAGUGAUGACAUUAUAUGAAAACAUAUUAAAACUUUAGGAAUUGCAUAUCAUCUCUAGAAUAGUUAUAGUAUUCAUCUAAAUGUAACCUAAGGCUUAGCAUUUACUUAACAGUACUUUCAGAAUAACUUAACAUACCAAAUAAGAGGCCUAAUGAGUCAAGACUCCAUUUACAACUCAAAUCUUGGGAAGUUUGUUAAAACCUUAGAAAGUUUUAAACCACACGCCUGUGGACACCUGGGUGGUUCAACUAUUGGGUGCCUGCCUUCAGCUCAGGUCGUGAUCCCCGGGAUCUGGGUUGAGUUCCGCAUCGGGCUCCUGGCCAGAAGCCUGCUUCUCCCUCUGCCGGUCUCUGCCUCUCUCUCUCAGUCUGUGUCUCUUAUGAAUAAAUAAGUAAAUCUUAAAAAAAAAAAAUAAAAA
rnacentral:lncRNA from 12 species